UACGGAGGGGGCUAGCGUUGUUCGGAAUGACUGGGCGUAAAGCGCGCGUAGGCGGAUUGGCAAGUUGGGGGUGAAAUCCCGGGGCUCAACCCCGGAAUGGCCUUCGAGACUGGUGGUCUUGAGUUCGAGAGAGGUGAGUGGAAUUCCGAGUGUAGAGGUGAAAUUCGUAGAUAUUCGGAGGAACACCAGUGGCGAAGGCGGCUCACUGGCUCGACACUGACGCUGAGGUGCGAAAGCGUGGGGAGCAAACAGG
rnacentral:rRNA from 1 species